ACAGGGUGUAGGGUGGCCUUGGUUAUUACAAAUCCAAAUACAAACAUCUCUUUUUGUAACAGCUGGAAAGUUCUGUUUUAAAUGUGAGAUGUCCAUGCAGCCUUCAGUGUGAGUUCCUGUGGUAGCUGUAGCUCAAUGGUGCCAUUUCCUCCAUGAGCAGUCCCUCAGCUUCCUGCAGCGAGCAGACCUGCCUGUGCCCACAGGGAUUCCUUGUGUAGGGAUGGAUCUGGCAGGGCUGGGCCUUGGGUUUCCUUCUACACUUCUGUGCUUGCUCCUGACCAUUUGUUUUCCCUUUAGAUAUACCACUCAGCACUUCCGUGAAAGCGAUGUUAUCAAUAUGCAGACUCUGUAUCCUAGACUAAAUCUGUGCAAAAUGUUCUUGGUAAAAUUAUGUUGCUCCAAAUAGCAAAUUCUGCAAUUGGUACAUCAAAGCUGCAAGGAAAAAUGCUUUUAGAUGGCUUGCUCCUGUCCUAACACUUUUGAAACAUUUUUAGACAUGAUCUUUUCAAUGCUACACCAGGGGAUUUCCACUCCCUCGCUGAUUUAAAAUGCUCGUACUGUUGUUUUAACCACAAAGCUUACACUCGUGCACGCUCGCUCUCUCAUUUUCUCCUCGCUGAAGAUCGGCUACAGAUUUCAGCUGGGAGCAGGCAGAAGUGAAAGCACACCUCGGUGGUGGCGUGGGCCAGACCCUGGCGUAAGCAGGAAACUGAUGCAGUCAGCCAGCGGCAGGCGGGUGAGGUUAAUAUAGCCAAGAACUGACAUACAAUUAAGUAAAAUUUUGGAAAAAAUGAGAUUAUAGUCUACUGCUAUAAAUGAAUGAUCAUCUGGAAAUAGAAGGAUGACAAGAUAAGAGGCUUUGGGUCUUUUAACACCUAAACUGAAGAGCAGCUUCCAUGGCCUGUGACGAGCUCACUGGUGUCUCGGGCAUCUUUACGCGCCAGAACUCUGCUAGUGCUGUUUCUCUGGACUUCGAACCCGACACUGACUACAAGUUUGUGGAAACCUUAGAGGACCGGUACAAGUGUGCCUACUGCCACUUAGUCCUUCACAAUCCCCACCAGACAGGAUGUGGGCACCGUUUUUGCCAGCAGUGCAUUCUCGCUUUGCGAGGACUGAAUGCAGUACCUACAUGUCCUGUCGACAAAGAAACAAUAAAAAUGCACGAGGUAUUCAAAGACAACUGUUGUAAAAGAGAAGUUCUCAACUUGUAUGUGUUCUGCAAAAACUUCCCCGACUGCAAUUCAAAAAUAAUUCUGGGGCGGUAUCAGGAACAUCUUCAGCAGUGUUUGUUUGAAAGCGUGCAAUGCACUAAUGAUGAAUGUUGUGAUCAAAUCCUUCGGAAAGAUUUGAAAGAUCAUUUGAAUCAGCACUGUAAAUUUCGAGAAGAAAUGUGUCAGUACUGUAAUAAAUAUGUGGUGUUAAUUAACAUAAAGAAUCAUGAGGAAAAUGACUGUCCUGAUUAUCCCAUGCCUUGUGUCCAAAACUGUUCACAGAUAAUUCUGAAAAAGGAGAUUGAAAAGCAUCAUACUGUGUGUCCUGAGACUGAAGUGGACUGCCCAUAUAAACAGUAUGGCUGUCUUAUAAAGGUGAAAAGAGGGAAACUUGCUGAACAUGAAAAUGGUGCCCUGCGGGAACACAUGCUGCAGAUUUUAGACAAGAAUUCUAGAUUGGAAGAACAAAUAUCUGACCUGUACAAGAGCCUGGAAUUUAAAGAGAUUAAAAUCCAGCAGUUAGCAGAGGCUGUUAAAAAGUGUGAGAAAGAAUUCAGACAGUUUACACAACUGUUUGGUAAAAAUAGCAAUUUGAUGGUAAGCACACAGGCUCUUGCCAGUCAUCUGGAUAAGUCUGCACGACUGGAAUCGCAAGUAAAACAGCUAAUACAGAUGGCAAACCAGCAACAAAGUAAAUUAGACUUGAGACCCCUACUUGACACAAUUGAAAAUGUAAAACAGAAGAUUGCCCUUAUGGAGACAUAUGAUCAGCGCUUAGUUGUUUUGGAAAGUCAGUCCAGCAAACAUGAUCUCCAGAUCAAUAUUCAUAAAGCACAGCUCAAUAAAAACGAAGAACGAUUUAAGCUUUUGGAAGGCACAUGCUACAACGGGAAAUUAAUUUGGAAAAUCACAGACUACAAGAUGAAGAAAAAAGAAGCAAUGGAAGGUCGUGUCCUCUCCAUCUUCAGCCAGCCCUUCUACACCAGCCGCUGUGGGUACAGGUUGUGUGCCAGAGCCUAUCUGAAUGGGGACGGCUCAGGCAAAGGAACACAUGUCUCACUCUACUUUGUUGUCAUGAGAGGCGAGUUCGACUCACUGUUGCCAUGGCCCUUCAAGCAGAAAGUUACACUUAUGCUUUUGGAUCAAACUGGGAAAAAAAAUCACAUUGUAGAAGUCUUUAGAGCUGACCCUAAUAGCAGCAGUUUCAAAAGGCCUGAUGGAGAAAUGAAUAUUGCCUCUGGUUGUCCACGCUUUGUGCCACACACAGUUCUGGAGAACACAAAGAAUACCUAUGUCAGAGAUGACACUCUGUUUUUGAAAGUAGUUGUGGAUUUAACUGAUCUGGAGGAACUGUGAAGAAAAAAGUAUCCAAUCAGUGUGACUGCUUUAAUUUUUAUGAAAUGCCUUCUUGGUGAUUACUAGCCAUGCAAUAGUGAAUUGCCACCUGUCAGCUACUCAUGUGUUUCAAGGCUCUUGGACCAUGUGACAGAAAAUGAAUUGUUAAAACAUCAGCCUUUGUUUUUUUAACCUUUUUUCAAGCCUGUAGCUUCAAGGCAGCUGUAAGACCAGUCUGAUGUGAACACACAUUCAAUCCAGUGCUUUGACUUGGCUCAGUACGGGCUGGGUGUGAAUGCUUGGCUCACAUCACAGGACUAGUGACUUAGGAUGAAAAUUCUCCUAUAAGCCCUUGGGAGCCCAGGCAGGCCUGUGGGCUCCACUGCUCACACCAGUGCACAUUUCACUUGUCUAAAAUGGAAACAUCUCAAUAUUAGCUUGUUUGAAUCAAUGUAUCAUGAGCCCUCAAUCUCCUGGAUUUUUGAAGCAGUGAGAAAGGGGUUCAGACAGACACUUGUCAGGGAUCUUGCAUACUUUUUUUUGUUAAAGUAUUUUUUACCAGGGAUUCCAGAGCAAAAUACCAAUGCCUCUACUUUUCUAGCUUGAUAUUUCAGCUGUACAGAAGGUCACAAAAUGGCUGUGGUAACAUCGUUUUCAUUCCUGCCUAGUGCCUUGGGACUGAUUUCCACUGGUGAUCAACAUCCACAGUCCCCAGCUGAGGUCAAAAGUACCUGCAUGUCCUUCUCACCUCUCAGGAUAUGGCCAUAAGGUACUCAGCUGCCAGAUCUUGGAAGAAAGAGGACAAAAUUCUUCAAGUUUGUCCUUCCAGCUGCACUCCUUGGGCCAACCAGCUCUACAGGUGGCAGGAAGAGCUCUGGAUAUCUGUUUGGGAAAAACCUCAGAUAACAUGCACUGUUCUCCCUAGAAAUUUGGAAUUUUGGGAAUGAAGGGGGAAAUAGAUGAAGGAAUGAAAUUCCUGUUGCAACCCAGGUCUCACAAGUAGUGCAGUUUCAGCAUUUGUUAAAAGGAGUGAGAGCUGCAGAGCAAUUACUGAUAACUAUGAAAUACUUAGGAAGAUCUUCAUUUUUAUCCUAAGUUCUCUCUAUAUUGCAAGGGAACAAUUGCAUUUUAUGUGGUUUAUUGGAGACACACUAAGAAUGCCAAGAUCAGGCACCAAGCAACAAGAAGCAAAGAACACACGUGCCUUUUUAAAGUCUUUUGGGUGCUUGUAGGAUGGAUGUAAUUUUGCACACUCAGUCAUUUUGUUGUUAGAAGUGACAGAAUUUUGUGUCUCACUUCUUACAGAUCAGGUAGUGAAACAGCAAAAUACUGCAGCCCACUGACAAAAUAAAGCUAGAGCUUUUGAAAAGGAUGGCAUGAAAUCAAGCUGGAUUUAUAGUAAGAAUAAGCCAGGCAGAAUAAAAACCAAAAUGUGGCACAGACCCCAAGGUAUAAGAUAGAAAAUUCAAGAUGGCAGAUGUGGCAAAAUGGAAAAUGCCACUUCUGUGCAGAAUGAUAUAAAAUGAUUUGGUGACUGAUACUACGAUGAAGGCAAAAUACAACAUUUUACAUCUGGAAACUCAUUGUUAUAGGCAUUUACUUUUCCAGGCAGUUUCUAGAAUGUAAAUCAGACAAAUAUUUUCAAAUUUGGAGGUGGAGUGGGGGAGAAGCCUCAGCGAUCUGUACGUCACAGUAAGGUAGCACAUCUGGAAAUUUUUCAUCCAAAGUCCUUUUUGUUGCACCACGUCUGUCUAUGAUGGGCACAUAGGGGUUUUCAUAGUGACCAGACAUAUAGGUCAAAAUCGGAUAAAGGUUUGAUUUUGUUCUUUUGUAUCACCACCAUGACUGACUUUGCAGUCCUUUUUCUCCACGUAGAGGAGAGAAUUGGGCUUCAUGUCUUUAACACUUUUUGUUGCAGAAAGAGGAAGCUUGUUUGAAAGAUAUUGUGAUAUCGUGGGACAUUGAUUCUGAGCCUCUGAUGUGGACUUUGUAUUGAUUGAUACUUUCAAAGGAUAACAGAGUGGUGUCAGCUGCAGAUCCUUGGACUGUCCAGUGUGUGAAGUGUAAAAUGAAAGGCUAAAGACCCUGGAGAACUGAAGCAGGAUGAAGAGGAUGCGCUCUGUACCUGGAUGAAUAACAGACCUCUCUGCCUCCACACCCCAAGCAUAAAAUUGGGAUAAUAAUACUUGUGGAAAUGUUAGGACUAUUUAAAUGUUUGUGAAGAGUUUUGAGCAUGAAAAGAGCUAAGUAUUAUUAGAACUCCAUUUCUAUUUGUUGAGUUGGUGACGGCGUAGUGAUGUGGGUGUGUGUCAGUGUGUUGCCGGGCCAAUGCUGGAAGCGUGCUCAGCUUUAGGCAGGCUGUGCCUGUGUUGGCGUUACCUUUUUGCCAUGAAUGUUCCUUUUAAAAUUCUGAAGCACAAAUGAUUCACCCUGGGCGACAGAAAUGUCCCCGUGGGAGUACUGCCUGUUUUAUAAUGAAUUUAUUGAGAAAAUUACUUUUUUUCUAAGGCGAUCUUAUUUAAACUGGUUUCUUUUGUUACAAUAGUUGAGUUUUGUGUUAAGAUUCUCAGCGAUUUUUACUACUUGUGAACUGCAUUUUAAGUUUCAUCUCAAGGGUUAGGGAAAAACGUUGUCUAGCAUGAUUACUGGGGAAGGAUUUUGUCGUUGCAUGAUAAAUACCAAAAAACCUUUGAAUAACGUCGUACUGGGUAAACAACCACAAGCGUGUUGUACAUCAGCACACGGUGUAUUUUUAUGUAGUUACUGACCGUUUGUAACCGUUUGAGUAUCUCUUACUACAACGCAGGCAUUUUUCUAACCAAACGUCAGCACUGUAUACGCAAAAACAGGGUCAGAAUAAAUAACGUUACCAUCAUCGCAGAGUGCCGUGCAUCCCGUCGGCGGACAGGCGUUGCCAUGGGCGGUGCCGAGCGCGGUGCCGGGCGGGCCGUGACGCACAGCCGGGCCGGGGAGCGCCGCCUCCCGCCCCCGGUCGCCGCCAGCCCUUCCGGGUCAGCGCCGAGCCGCAGCCGGGCCCGCGCUGCCGCCGCGGCCGGCCCGGUAUGGACAGCCAGAAGGAUGAGAAAGGCAGGCUGCUCAGUGCCGCUUCCGCAGAGGACCUGAAAGUCCGAGG